GUGUGUGUGUGUGUGUGUGUGUGUGUGUGUGUGUGUUACACAUGUCCCCCUACACACACACACACACACACACACACACACACACACACGG
rnacentral:miRNA from 1 species